CGUCAAUGUAGUUAAUGCGGAUGUGUGCAUUGUGUCUCAUUUUAUUGCCGGCUGUUUAUAACUUCUAUCCAGAUUUAUAAUCAACAUCUGCAGUUCAAGAUGGACAGUGAGAAAGAAUACGUUUUAUCUGACAAUGAGCUGUUUGAUGACCUUAUUGACAAAGAUAAGACAACUGAAAUCGUUGGCUACGUCAUCGAAACUCAAGCUCCA